GGAGAGGUGUCCGAGUGGUCGAAGGUGCCUGACUCGAAAUCAGGUGUGGCGAAAGCCACCGGGGGUUCGAAUCCCUUCCUCUCCGCCA
rnacentral:tRNA from 1 species